GUUCAAACGCCGUUUCCUGUAUGAUCACCGAAGUUAAGCAAUGUCGAGCUUGGUCAGUACCUAGAUGGGCGACCGCUUGAGAAUACCAGGUAUUGUAAG